AUACGUAGGGGGCGAGCGUUGUCCGGAAUGAUUGGGCGUAAAGGGCGCGUAGGCGGCCCGGUAAGUCUGGAGUGAAAGUCCUGUUUUUAAGAUGGGAAUUGCUUUGGAUACUGUCGGGCUUGAGUGCAGGAGAGGUAAGUGGAAUUCCCAGUGGAGCGGGGAAAUGCGUAGAGAUUGGGAGGAACACCAGUGGCGAAGGCGACUUACUGGACUGUAACUGACGCUGAGGCGCGAAAGUGUGGGGAGCAAACAGGAUUAGAUACCCUGGUAGUCCACACUGUAAACGAUGAAUGCUAGGUGUAGGGGGUAUCGACCCCUUCUGUGCCGCAGUCAACACAAUAAGCAUUCCGCCUGGGGAGUACGGCCGCAUGGUUGAAACUCAAAGGAAUUGGCGGGG
rnacentral:rRNA from 1 species